rnacentral:rRNA from 1 species
UACGUAGGGUGCGAGCGUUGUCCGGAAUUAUUGGGCGUAAAGAGCUCGUAGGCGGUUCGUUGCGUCUGCGGUGAAAACUCGGGGCUCAACCCCGAGCCUGCCGUGGAUACGGGCGAACUAGAGUCCAGCAGGGGAGAUCGGAAUUCCUGGUGUAGCGGUGAAAUGCGCAGAUAUCAGGAGGAACACCGGUGGCGAAGGCGGAUCUCUGGGCUGGUACUGACGCUGAGGAGCGAAAGCGUGGGGAGCAAACAGG